GUCUUUUCAGAGACAUCCGAUAAAAUUGGAAUGAUGCAGAGAAGAUUAGCAUGGCCUCUGUGCAAAGAUGACACGCACUGGAGAUUUUGGGAAUACAA